rnacentral:sRNA from 3 species
AUCCUCCCCAUGCCGGGAAGGGUGAGAAGCUUCGACUAAGGUUCGAUUCGAGCGCAGCGAGAAAGCGUUGCCGCAGGCAACGACCCGAAGGGCGAGGAGCAGCGCGACGAGUAAUCCUUCCCCCACCACCA